rnacentral:misc_RNA from 1 species
AACCAUAGAAACCUGCGGAGUACCUGCGGAAGGAUCAUUACAGAGUUGCAAAACUCCCUAAACCAUUGUGAACGUUACCUAAACCGUUGCUUCGGCGGGCGGCCCGGGUCCUUCCCGGCGCCCAUCGGCCCUCGCGGGCGCCCGCCGGAGGUAAACCAAACUAUUGCAUUGUAUGGCCUCUCUGAGUCUUCUGUACUGAAUUAGUCAAAACUUUUAACAAUGGAUCUCAGAUCGGAAGAG